CCUACGGGAGGCAGCAGUGGGGAAUAUUGGGCAAUGGGCGCAAGCCUGACCCAGCAACGCCGCGUGAAGGAAGAAGGCUUUCGGGUUGUAAACUUCUUUUAAGCGGGAAGAGCAGAAGGCGGUACCUCUUGAAUAAGCCACGGCUAACUACGUGCCAGCAGCCGCGGUAAUACGUAGGUGGCAAGCGUUGUCCGGAUUUACUGGGGGUAAAGGGCGUGCAGCCGGGAAGACAAGUCAGAUGUGAAAUCCCGCGGCUCAACCGCGGAACUGCCUUUGAAACUGUUUUUCUUGAGUACCGGAGAGGUCAUCGGAAUGCCUGGUGUAGCGGUGAAAUGCGUAGAUAUAAGGAAGAACACCAGUGGCGAAGGCGGAUGACUGGACGGCAACUGACGGUGAGGCGCGAAAGCGUGGGGAGCAAACAGGAUUAGAUACCCGAGUAGUC
rnacentral:rRNA from 1 species